rnacentral:rRNA from 1 species
UACGUAGGAGGCAAGCGUUGUCCGGAAUACUGGGCGUAAAGCGUGCGCAGGCGGUGAUGUAAGACAGGUGUGAAAUCCCCGGGCUUAACCUGGGAACUGCAUUUGUGACUGCAUCGCUGGAGUGCGGCAGAGGGGGAUGGAAUUCCGCGUGUAGCAGUGAAAUGCGUAGAUAUGCGGAGGAACACCGAUGGCGAAGGCAAUCCCCUGGGCCUGCACUGACGCUCAUGCACGAAAGCGUGGGGAGCAAACAGG